rnacentral:rRNA from 1 species
GAGUGGCGAACUGGUGAGUAACACGUGGGAAACCUGCCCAGAAGUGGGGGAUAACACCUGGAAACAGAUGCUAAUACCGCAUAACAACUCGGACCGCAUGGUCUGAGUUUGAAAGAUGGCUUCGGCUAUCACUUUUGGAUGGUCCCGCGGCGUAUUAGCUAGAUGGUGGGGUAACGGCUCACCAUGGCAAUGAUACGUAGCCGACCUGAGAGGGUAAUCGGCCACAUUGGGACUGAGACACGGCCCAAACUCCUACGGGAGGCAGCAGUAGGGAAUCUUCCACAAUGGACGAAAGUCUGAUGGAGCAACGCCGCGUGAGUGGAAGAAGGGUUUCGGCUCGUAAAACUCUGUUGUUAAAGAAGAACAUAUCUGAGAGUAACUGUUCAGGUAUUGACGGUAUUUAACCAGAAAGCCACGGCUAACUACGUGCCAGCAGCCGCGGUAAUACGUAGGUGGGCAAGCGUUGUCCGGAUUUAUUGGGCGUAAAGCGAGCGCAGGCGGUUUUUUAAGUCUGAUGUGAAAGCCUUCGGCUUAACCGAAGAAGUGCAUCGGAAACUGGGAAACUUGAGUGCAGAAGAGGACAGUGGAACUCCAUGUGUAGCGGUGAAAUGCGUAGAUAUAUGGAAGAACACCAGUGGCGAAGGCGGCUGUCUGGUCUGUAACUGACGCUGAGGCUCGAAAGUAUGGGUAGCAAACAGGAUUAGAUACCCUGGUAGUCCAUACCGUAAACGAUGAAUGCUAAGUGUUGGAGGGUUUCCGCCCUUCAGUGCUGCAGCUAACGCAUUAAGCAUUCCGCCUGGGGAGUACGGCCGCAAGGCUGAAACUCAAAGGAAUUGACGGGGGCCCGCACAAGCGGUGGAGCAUGUGGUUUAAUUCGAAGCUACGCGAAGAACCUUACCAGGUCUUGACAUACUAUGCAAAUCUAAGAGAUUAGACGUUCCCUUCGGGGACAUGGAUACAGGUGGUGCAUGGUUGUCGUCAGCUCGUGUCGUGAGAUGUUGGGUUAAGUCCCGCAACGAGCGCAACCCUUAUUAUCAGUUGCCAGCAUUAAGUUGGGCACUCUGGUGAGACUGCCGGUGACAAACCGGAGGAAGGUGGGGAUGACGUCAAAUCAUCAUGCCCCUUAUGACCUGGGCUACACACGUGCUACAAUGGAUGGUACAACGAGUUGCGAACUCGCGAGAGUAAGCUAAUCUCUUAAAGCCAUUCUCAGUUCGGAUUGUAGGCUGCAACUCGCCUACAUGAAGUCGGAAUCGCUAGUAAUCGCGGAUCAGCAUGCCGCGGUGAAUACGUUCCCGGGCCUUGUACACACCGCCCGUCACACCAUGAGAGUUUGUAACACCCAAAGUCGGUGGGGUAACCUUCGGGAGCCAACCGCCUAAGGUGGGACAGAUGAUUAGGGUGAAGUCGUAACAAGGUAGCCGUAGGAGAACC